CCGUACACUCAGGGAUAGCCUUUCGAAAGAAAGAUUAAUACCUGAUGGUAUGAUGAGAUUGCAUGAUAGCAUCAUUAAAGAUUUAUCGGUGUACGAUGGGGAUGCGUUCCAUUAGGUAGUAGGCGGGGUAACGGCCCACCUAGCCAACGAUGGAUAGGGGUUCUGAGAGGAAGGUCCCCCACAUUGGAACUGAGACACGGUCCAAACUCCUACGGGAGGCAGCAGUGAGGAAUAUUGGUCAAUGGACGAGAGUCUGAACCAGCCAAGUAGCGUGAAGGAUGAAGGUCCUACGGAUUGUAAACUUCUUUUAUAAGGGAAUAAACCCUCCCACGUGUGGGAGCUUGUAUGUACCUUAUGAAUAAGCAUCGGCUAACUCCGUGCCAGCAGCCGCGGUAAUACGGAGGAUGCGAGCGUUAUCCGGAUUUAUUGGGUUUAAAGGGAGCGCAGACGGGUCGUUAAGUCAGCUGUGAAAGUUUGGGGCUCAACCUUAAAAUUGCAGUUGAUACUGGCGUCCUUGAGUGCGGUUGAGGUGUGCGGAAUUCGUGGUGUAGCGGUGAAAUGCUUAGAUAUCACGAAGAACUCCGAUUGCGAAGGCAGCACACUAAUCCGUAACUGACGUUCAUG
rnacentral:rRNA from 1 species